GACGAACGCUGGCGGCGUGCCUAAUACAUGCAAGUAGAACGCUGAAGAGAGGAGCUUGCUCUUCUUGGAUGAGUUGCGAACGGGUGAGUAACGCGUAGGUAACCUGCCUUGUAGCGGGGGAUAACUAUUGGAAACGAUAGCUAAUACCGCAUAACAAUGGAUGACACAUGUCAUUUAUUUGAAAGGGGCAAUUGCUCCACUACAAGAUGGACCUGCGUUGUAUUAGCUAGUAGGUGAGGUAAUGGCUCACCUAGGCGACGAUACAUAGCCGACCUGAGAGGGUGAUCGGCCACACUGGGACUGAGACACGGCCCAGACUCCUACGGGAGGCAGCAGUAGGGAAUCUUCGGCAAUGGGGGCAACCCUGACCGAGCAACGCCGCGUGAGUGAAGAAGGUUUUCGGAUCGUAAAGCUCUGUUGUAAGUCAAGAACGGGUGUGAGAGUGGAAAGUUCACACUGUGACGGUAGCUUACCAGAAGGAGACGGCUAACUACGUG
rnacentral:rRNA from 1 species